CCUUUUGAUAAGCAUAUUGCGUUUCUACAAAAAAGGGGCUACUUAAGAAUGAACUAACAUAGGCUCCCAAAUACCAACCAACGUGACCAGUAACAGCACCAAUGUACUGAAGACGAUUAAGCAUCGCCUCAGUAUGAGCUUGGCGUGCUUUACCGGAAACAGACUUGUUAACAGCAGACUCUUCAUUUUCAAGAACAGACGGAGACUCGAAGCUGCUACUGACUUGUAAAACACCAUCAAUGUCAAUACCAACAAGCUGACCUGAACGAAAGUUAGUUAAAAAUAUUAUUUCAAGAGAGAAACUGUGGUUGAUAAGAAAUUUCACUAAGUAGAGCAUUACUGAGCUGAC